rnacentral:rRNA from 1 species
GACGAACGCUGGCGGCGUGCCUAAUACAUGCAAGUAGAACGCUGAAGGAGGAGCUUGCUUCUCCGGAUGAGUUGCGAACGGGUGAGUAACGCGUAGGUAACCUGCCUGGUAGCGGGGGAUGACUAUUGGAAACGAUAGCUAAUACCGCAUAACAGUAGAUGUUGCAUGACAUUUGCUUAAAAGGUGCAAUUGCAUCACUACCAGAUGGACCUGCGUUGUAUUAGCUAGUUGGUGAGGUAACGGCUCACCAAGGCGACGAUACAUAGCCGACCUGAGAGGGUGAUCGGCCACACUGGGACUGAGACACGGCCCAGACUCCUACGGGAGGCAGCAGUAGGGAAUCUUCGGCAAUGGACGGAAGUCUGACCGAGCAACGCCGCGUGAGUGAAGAAGGUUUUCGGAUCGUAAAGCUCUGUUGUAAGAGAAGAACGAGUGUGAGAGUGGAAAGUUCACACUGUGACGGUAUCUUACCAGAAAGGGACGGCUAACUACGUG